CAGUGAGUGCUGGGUUGGGGUGGGAGGAAGGAUUGGGUGGCGAGUUUGGUAUAAGGGAGGAGAAGCAAUUGAGUUGUCUUUCUCUUUUCUUUUUUCUGCCCAGAUUUUGGUACAAGAGAGGAGAAGCAAGGAUUGGGUUGUGACAAUGGAGGGUUGUGGAUGAAUUUCCGAAUUUACCCUCAUUUUUGACAGAAAAUUUAACGGAGUUUGACGGAGGGACUACUGGUGCAACAUAGCACCUAGUUGAGUGACCCAUGCAACUAAUAAUUGAAUUGAGGGACCAAAGUGUAACUACGGGUAUAAUUGAGGGACCAUUGCUGUGAAUAACCCUAUUUGGAAUGAUAUUUGUUUUAUGAAACGUUUUCAGUAUUUUUGUCGGUUGAAGCUGUUACAGUAAGUAGCACCGAUCAAAAGCAUUGUUCAACUCUUUGUUGCCCUUGCACAUGAUGAAUUAAGUAGGAUGAUGAGUUGGGUUGUCAAAUGAGCUUAAGGCUUUUGAUAAUGUUAUUGAAUGAUGAAAUGAAGCCUAAUUAAACUGAGAUUGGGCAGUUUGAUGCUUAUGUGAAUGUAGAUCAGAGAAGGAGUCAUUGAGGAUGGGCACUUGCAAUAAUUUCAUGAUUCUCUUGCUAACUUGAACAGGUUAUUGUGGUACCUUUGCUUGAUGGCAUGCUGGGAGCAAUCAUACCCUCUCGUACUUGGUUUGGAGUUCUCAUGUCUGCUCUUGGGGUUGCUAUGCUGGAAUGCAGUGGAUCACCUCCAAACACAAAAACAUUCUUGAUGCUUUUGCGUUGAGAAUGUUGUAGAAAAAUCUGAUUUCAUGUAGUGAAAAAUGGGACAACAUAUAUGACCAUAUAGCUCUUCGGCAACUAAUGAUAAUUCUACUUUCCUUUUCAGGUUGGUGAUCUUUUGAACUUCUUGAGUGCAAUAUUUUUUGGAAUUCACAUGCUUCGAACAGAGCAUAUUUCAAGAAGCACAAAGAAAGAAAGCUUCUUAGCAAUUCUUGGAUAUGAGGUUUGCGUUGUUGCUCUCUUAUCCAGAGUCUGGGUUUUCAUUGGAGGGAGGUUAGAUGGUGCCCGCUAUUCGAACCAAUCAUCAUGGUUAUGGACAUGGACAGAGUUAUGGGACUGGAUUGUUGCAUUUCCAUGGAUACCUGCACUUUAUACUGGUGCAUUUUUCAACUGGGUUAUGCUUAUGGAUUGAGAUUGCACCGAUGCGUGAUGUUUCAGCGACAGAAACAGCCAUAAUUUAUGGGAUGGAGCCACUGUGGGGUGCCGGUUUCGCAUGGUUUCUACUUGGUGAAAGGUGGGGUACACUUGGAUGGAUAGGGGCUGCUCUUGUG